GAAACACUAUUUAGCUGUCUAACCAAGUCACAAAAGGGUUAACUUUGAUUUUCUUGUUAUCUUUGAUGGAUUUGUAAGUGAGCAAAUGGGUGAACUCUAUGAGGCAGUGAACUGACCAAUCAGCUGCCAGCUAGGCUCUGUUACAGUUAUACCUCUAGGUUAGUGUCUCUGCACGUUCUUUUGGCGCGUGCACCUGAGUAUAGGAGGCUGCGUUACCCACUGGAGAGUAAAAGAGAGCUGUGCCUGAAUCCACUGUUGUCACGGAGCUAAAGGCAGUGAAUUCUGCUAAAAUGGUCAGGUUUUGGUAAAGAGUUGGAAACAUCGUGCGGAGAUCCUUUCCACGGAAUGAUGCAGAUCCCCACGUUCCAGGCGUUCUCCCAGAGAUUCAUAGAUUCCCAGUCCGGGGGGCUGGGUGGCGAGCCAACCGUGUUUGCGACUGACUUUAGACGGAUUGCCAGGAUCAUCAUCUUCAUCUUCAUGGUGGAACUUCUUGCUGUGCCAUGUCUGCCUGAAGGCCAGGUGCAGUCUGCCUGGACAUCUGAGGAAGAAGUGCAUGCAGCACAGUACUGAGGAAGAGAUCGAGGUCGCUGUGGACAAGGCCAAGAAGGAAGUCAUUGAGUUCCUGUGAAAGGGCAGGUUCUGGAAGUACUCUGAGAUUGUCUGUAUCUUCCAGAGCCCCAAUCCCUGUAGCAGUUCAAUCCUUUCUUCUUGGGGCCGUUUACACGACGAUGGCAUUUUGGGACCUGAAAACGCAAACUUUUGAAAACCGUUUGCCGACUGGCCUGGCAUGCAUAAUACAGCGAUUUUAGUCGUUUUCACGGAUCUGUGUGAACGGGGAAUGUUUUGACAAUGUUGUCAUGUAAACAUACCCUUUGUGUGAGAGAGGAGACAAACUGUUUUGCAUUUUAUUGCAAACACUCAAUUUCAACCCUGUACUUCACACCCCACCCCUAUUCACACCUUCAGGUACGUAUGGGGUUGGCUGGGGGUUGAACAAGACAUUCAACAUGAAAUGAAAUGAGCCUGGAAAAAAAUUGAAAAACAUAGUUAAUGUGAUCAGGAUGUUUAAAGAGCUGUAGAAGAGAGGGAAUGUGGUCAUGGACUUGCCAAGUCAGCUAGAAGAUGUGGGUGCAGAGGAUCCUGCACAGUCCCCAAGCCAGCCGGUGGCCACAGAACCCGAGCAGUCUCCCCAGCACACAAGGAAGAGGAUGUGGGCAGAGAUUCACGUGCGGGUUCUGAUGGCGAAAAUGGGCUUAAAGCAAAAGCAUUCCCUCUGCCAUCCUCUGCUGAGUGACUUCAUCUGUCACCUGGAGAUUAACUUGUACGAUGAAUGUUUCAAACAGGAGGUUUGUACUUCAUGGAUCGCACUGCUCCCUCUCUGGAGUUUGUGCGUCUGUGUGAGCGAAUACAAGAGUACGUCAGAAAGCUGACAGAUCAAGGUCAGCAGGAACACUGUGUGGAACUACUUAAACAGCAUCAAAAGGUUCCUGAAGUAUCACGUGGAGAACACAGACCUCUCUUUUCGGGAUAAAGAUCUCCAUGACGACAGUGUGGCUUGCAUCCAGUUCCUGACAUAUCUGCAGCCAUGCUACACAAAGAAAGUCUGCACGGAUAUCAUUAGCAAUAGAUGUGGCUAAGGACGACUUCCUGGGGAUCAUCGGGAAGCUGAUCGGCCCAGACCGCAUUUCGGCCGAGUUCCUGACCAAACACGAACAGGUGCUGGUGCUCUAUUACCUGGAGGUCAUCGUGAUCCUAAAACACCUGCAGCGGUUGCCGAAACACACAUGACGUAUUCACUGGUAAACUAAUGGGUUUGGUCACUCGUUGUUAUAGGUGUCCGAAUGGGUGUGUCGGACACAGUGCGAGGACAGAACAUUUUGGUCGGUGCCAGCCCUCAGUAUCCAGGAUUGUAUCCUGGAUCAAAAAGCAGGUCUGGAGGAAGAACAGACCCGAUGCUUCGAGAGUAUUAGCAAGCGGGAUGCCUUCUGGAGGCAUGGACACCUCUCUGGACAGUCGUGUGAUCCAGAAGAUGGUCUGGAGACAGAACUGGAAGGGGCUGCUGGUGAUGGAGAUUGAAGGCAAGGGAAGACGUGUCGUCACCACCAGGCCCUUUGUGAAUUGAGAGGUGGUCUGUGAUUACUGCUGGUCAGCAGGCAGGUGGGGUUGAGGAUACAUGCCUCCAUGUCGGAGGGAGAGAGUGGAUACAUGUUCUUCUACACUGACAGCCACGGACAGGCCGCGUGCAUCGAUGCACACAAUGAACAGUGCGAGUGUCUCCUGGCCCAGGUGACAUUUGGCAGGCUCAUUAGACAUGGUACUAAAAAGAGAAAUCUGCGUCCUAGACUUUUUGUUGCUGAAGGUAAGGACGUCAUCCUGUUCUUGGCAGCAAGAGACAUUCAGAUCAACAAGGAACUUAAGUAUAAUUAUGGAGUCAACAAGAGGUGCUUUGCUGGUGAGGGUCUGGACCUGGACUGGCUCUGAAACCCGCUCUUGGCAUCCUGUUUCUUUUCUUUUACCUUUGUUACAGCAUUUAUUAUUAAAUUAUAAUAAACUUUUAAUAAAACUUCUGUAGUUACUCUUUGUAUUAUUGCUGAAAUAUACAGUCAUAUACACACACGCACACAAACCUUCAUAUGUAUAUGAAACACACAUGUCUAUAUUAUUACUGUCGCUGUACACUGACCAAGAGUGGACCAGUGUUUCUGAAACAAAAAUGACUUUAAUGAAUUUUCUUUUAAGGUCUUUUUUCAUAACCCGAAAUAUGCAUUUUCUUUAUUUUUUAAAAAAUAUGCCAAGAGGGGACCGGGAACCCUGAGCGAUAUCUACCUAUACAAAAGGGGACCUCCAUAGCCUGCAGUGGAACUGUAUGUGUAAACACAAAGUGAAUAGGCAUGAGUCUUUUUCAUACUGUAACUUUAAUGUAAACAUUAGUUUACUCAUCUCAGCAUUGCAUAAAUAUUCUGAAAGCAACCCCAAACACUAAAUAAAUAAUUUUAUCUGCAAUUA